CACACACUCUCCCUGCCAUUAUACCCUCACACCCCCCUGCUAUUAUACCGUCACCCUCCCUGCCAUUAUACCCCCACUCUCCCUGUCAAAUAUCCCCAAACCCACCUUAUCAUAAUACCCUCCCCUGCCAUGUACACCCCCACCUUGUCAUAAUAGCCUCCUUGCCAUAUACACCCCUUCUUUGUCAUAUUAUUCUGCCUGCCAUAAAUCCACCACCUGGUCAUAAUUCUCACCCUGGCAUAUCCCCU